UAGUACCGGAGGCAACAUUUAGGAAUAUUGCACAAUGGGGGAAACCCUGAUGCAGCCAUGCCGCGUGUGUGAAGAAGGCCUUCGGGUUGUAAAGCACUUUCAGUUGUGAGGAAAGGUUGGUAGUUAAUACCUGCCAGCUGUGACGUUAACAACAGAAGAAGCACCGGCUAACUCCGUGCCAGCAGCCGCGGUAAUACGGAGGGUGCGAGCGUUAAUCGGAAUUACUGGGCGUAAAGCGCACGCAGGCGGCUUGUUAAGCUAGAGGUGAAAGCCCCGCGCUCAACGUGGGAACUGCCUUUAGAACUGGCACGCUAGACUCUUGGAGAGGGGAGUGGAAUUCCAGGUGCACCGGGGAAAUGCGUAAAUAUCUGGAGGAACAUCACUGGCGAAGGGGGGCUCCCCGGCCAAAAACUGACC
rnacentral:rRNA from 1 species